rnacentral:rRNA from 1 species
GACAGAGGGGGCAAGCGUUGCUCGGAAUUACUGGGCGUAAAGGGCGCGUAGGCGGGAUGGCAAGUCGGUCGUGAAAUCCCUCGGCUCGACUGAGGAUCGUCGAUCGAUACUGCCGUUCUUGAGGAUUGCAGAGGAGACUGGAAUUCCCGGUGUAGCGGUGAAAUGUGUAGAGAUCGGGAGGAACACCGGUGGCGAAGGCGGGUCUCUGGGCAAUUCCUGACGCUGAGGCGCGAAAGCAUGGGGAGCGAACAGG